UUUGUCUUCAUUUUCUUCCCAGGGUAAUUUUGCCUCUCUUAUCAAGAAUAUCCAAGGAAGAAACCACCCCAUAAAAUUAAAUUGAGUUCUGUUGUAAAGAUUCUUGAUUUACAUCCAGAAAAAUAAAGAGGAAAAACUUUUUGCUACUUGUAAUGUUUGACAAACAAUUGAUCUUUUCUACCUUGUGCAGGAUACUACUUUGG
rnacentral:misc_RNA from 1 species